rnacentral:misc_RNA from 1 species
GUAGGUGAACCUGCGGAAGGAUCAUUAUUGAAAUAAACCUGAUGGGUUGUUGCUGGUUCUCUAGGGAGCAUGUGCACACUUGUCAUCUUUAUAUCUCCACCUGUGCACUUUUUGUAGACCUUACAGGUCUAUGUUGCCUAUUCAUUUACACCAAUGUAUGUUAAUAGAAUGUUGUGACUAUAAAAUCUAUACAACUUUCAGCAACGGAUCUCUUGGCUCUC